ACGGGAGGCAGCAGUGGGGGAUAUUGGACAAUGGGCGAAAGCCUGAUCCAGCGACGCCGCGUGAGUGAAGAAGUAUUUCGGUAUGUAAAGCUCUAUCAGCAGGGAAGAUAAUGACGGUACCUGACUAAGAAGCCCCGGCUAACUACGUGCCAGCAGCCGCGGUAAUACGUAGGGGGCAAGCGUUAUCCGGAUUUACUGGGUGUAAAGGGAGCGUAGACGGUAUGGCAAGUCUGAUGUGAAAACCCAGGGCUCAACCCUGGGACUGCAUUGGAAACUGUCAAACUAGAGGGCAGGAGAGGUAAGUGGAAUUCCUUGUGUAGCGGUGAAAUGCGUAGAUAUUAGGAGGAACACCAGUGGCGAAGGCGGCUUACUGGACUGUAACUGACGUUGAGGCUCGAAAGCGUGGGGAGCAAACAGGAUUAGAUACCCUGGUA
rnacentral:rRNA from 1 species